rnacentral:lncRNA from 1 species
CACGAGAGGAGCGGAGGCGAGGGGUGAACGCGGAGCACUCCAAUCGCUCCCAACUAGAGGUCCACCCAGGACCCAGAGACCUGGAUUUGAGGCUGCUGGGCGGCAGAUGGAGCGAUCAGAAGACCAGGAGACGGGAGCUGGAGUGCAGUGGCUGUUCACAAGCGUGAAAGCAAAGAUUAAAAAAUUUGUUUUUAUAUUAAAAAAAAAAAAAAAAAA